rnacentral:tRNA from 1 species
GGGCAUGUGGUGUAGUUGGUUAUCACGCUCGCUUAGCAUCUCUGAGCUUGCGAGAGGGGUCCGGUUCAAUCCCGGACAUGUCCA